UCGCUUCGAUCGCCUGUUGCGGACAGAUAUAAUGGACAUGCGUGUCGAUGCCACCAGCGGUAACAAUCUUCCCCUCGGCAGCGAUGACAUCUGUAUUCGACCCGAUGACCAGGGAUGGAUUCACAUUAUCCAUUACAUCCGGAUUGCCAGCCUUGCCAAUUCCCACGAUGAGCCCAUCCUUCACUCCAAUAUCCGCCUUGUAGAUCCCACUCCAGUCAAUCACCAGCGCGUUCACAAGCACCAGAUCCGCACAUUCACUAUCCGCCCUCCCCGCAGCCUGCCCAAUCCCAUCGCGCAG
rnacentral:sRNA from 1 species